UGAGUAACACGUGGGUGAUCUGCCCUGCACUUUGGGAUAAGCCUGGGAAACUGGGUCUAAUACCGAAUAGGACCACGCGCUUCAUGGUGUGUGGUGGAAAGCUUUUGCGGUGUGGGAUGGGCCCGCGGCCUAUCAGCUUGUUGGUGGGGUAAUGGCCUACCAAGGCGACGACGGGUAGCCGGCCUGAGAGGGUGUCCGGCCACACUGGGACUGAGAUACGGCCCAGACUCCUACGGGAGGCAGCAGUGGGGAAUAUUGCACAAUGGGCGCAAGCCUGAUGCAGCGACGCCGCGUGGGGGAUGACGGCCUUCGGGUUGUAAACCUCUUUCAGUAUCGGCGAAGCUCCAGGAUUCUUCUUGGGGUGACGGUAGGUACAGAAGAAGCACCGGCCAACUACGUGCCAGCAGCCGCGGUAAUACGUAGGGUGCGAGCGUUGUCCGGAAUUACUGGGCGUAAAGAGCUCGUAGGUGGUUUGUCACGUUGUCCGUGAAAACUCACAGCUUAACUGUGGGCGUGCGGGCGAUACGGGCAGACUGGAGUACUGUAGGGGAGACUGGAAUUCCUGGUGUAGCGGUGGAAUGCGCAGAUAUCAGGAGGAACACCGGUGGCGAAGGCGGGUCUCUGGGCAGUAACUGACGCUGAGGAGCGAAAGCGUGGGGAGCGAACAGGAUUAGAUACCCUGGUAGUCCACGCCGUAAACGGUGGGUACUAGGUGUGGGUUUCCUUCCUUUAGGGAUCCGUGCCGUAGCUAACGCAUUAAGUACCCCGCCUGGGGGAGUACGGCCGCAAGGCUAAAACUCAAAGGAAUUGACGGGGGGCCCGCACAA
rnacentral:rRNA from 1 species